rnacentral:rRNA from 1 species
UACGUAGGUGGCAAGCGUUGUCCGGAUUUACUGGGUGUAAAGGGCGUGCAGCCGGAGAGACAAGUCAGAUGUGAAAUCCACGGGCUCAACCCGUGAACUGCAUUUGAAACUGUUUCCCUAGAGUGUCGGAGAGGUAAUCGGAAUUCCUUGUGUAGCGGUGAAAUGCGUAGAUAUAAGGAGGAACACCAGUGGCGAAGGCGGAUUACUGGACGAUAACUGACGGUGAGGCGCGAAAGCGUGGGGAGCAAACAGG